rnacentral:rRNA from 1 species
CGUGAGAAUCUGCCUAGAGGAUGGGGACAACCACGGGAAACUGUGGCUAAUACCCAAUGAGCGGAGACGUUAAAGAUUUAUCGCCUCUAGAGGAGCUCGCGUCUGAUUAGCUGGUUGGUGGGGUAAAAGCCUACCAAGGCGACGAUCAGUAGCUGGUCUGAGAGGACAACCAGCCACACUGGGACUGAGACACGGCCCAGACUCCUACGGGAGGCAGCAGUGGGGAAUUUUCCGCAAUGGGCGAAAGCCUGACGGAGCAAUACCGCGUGAGGGAGGAAGGCUCUUGGGUCGUAAACCUCUUUUCUCAGGGAAGAAGAAAGUGACGGUACCUGAGGAAUCAGCCUCGGCUAACUCCGUGCCAGCAGCCGCGGUAAUACGGAGGAGGCAAGCGUUAUCCGGAAUUAUUGGGCGUAAAGCGUCCGUAGGUGGCUCUUCAAGUCUGCUGUCAAAGAGUGGGGCUUAACUCCAGAAAGGCAGUGGAAACUGAAAGGCUAGAGAGCCGUAGGGGUAGAGGGAAUUCCCGGUGUAGCGGUGAAAUGCGUAGAGAUCGGGAAGAACAUCGGUGGCGAAAGCGCUCUACUGGACGGUAUCUGACACUGAGGGACGAAAGCUAGGGGAGCGAAUGGGAUUAGAUACCCCAGUAGUCCUAGCCGUA